CUCGUGUCCCUGUACUCACAUACCUCACUGCAUGUCCUCUUACUCACAUACUUCAUUGCGUGUCCCUUUACAUACAUACCUCACUGCGUUUCUCUUUAAAUACAUACCUCACUGCAUGUCCCCUUACUCACAUACCUCACUGCGUAUCCCUUUAAAUACAUACCUCACUGCGUGUCUCUUUAAAUACAUACCUCACUGCGUAUCCCUUUAAAUACAUACCUCACUGCGUGUCUCUUUAAAUACAUACCUCACUUCGUGUCCCCUUACUCACAUACUUCAUUG